rnacentral:sRNA from 1 species
AGCCCGUUGACGAAAGAGCGGCAUCCGUGAGCGAGACACGGGCGGGCA